GNNUUCGGGANGCUUACACAUGCAAGUCGAGGGGCAGCAUAGGGUAGCAAUACUCUGAUGGCGACCGGCAAACGGGUGAGUAACGCGUAUGCAACCUACCCUGUACAGGGGGAUAACCCGGAGAAAUUCGGACUAAUAUCCCGUAAUAAUAUCCGGAGGCAUCUUUGGAUAUUUAAAGUUCCGACGGUACGGGAUGGGCAUGCGUAACAUUAGCUGGUUGGUAAGGUAACGGCUUACCAAGGCUAUGAUGUUUAGGGGUCCUGAGAGGGUGGUCCCCCACACUGGUACUGAGACACGGACCAGACUCCUACGGGAGGCAGCAGUGAGGAAUAUUGGUCAAUGGGCGCAAGCCUGAACCAGCCAUCCCGCGUGCAGGAAGACGGCCCUAUGGGUUGUAAGCUGCUUUUCCAGGGAGAGAAACUUACGCACGUGUUGCGUGACUGACGGUACCCUGGGAAUAAGCAUCGGCUAACUCCGUGCCAGCAGCCGCGGUAAUACGGAGGAUGCAAGCGUUAUCCGGAUUCAUUGGGUUUAAAGGGUGCGUAGGCGGGCUAUUAAGUCAGUGGUGAAAUCCUGCAGCUUAACUGCAGAACUGCCGUUGAUACUGAUAGUCUUGGGUUUGGUUAAGGUAGGCGGAAUGUGUAAUGUAGCGGUGAAAUGCUUAGAUAUUACACAGAACACCAAUUGCGUAGGCAGCUUACUGAGCCGACACUGACGCUGAGGCACGAAAGCGUGGGGAUCAAACAGGAUUAGAUACCCUGGUAGUCCACGCCGUAAACGAUGAUUACUCGCUGUUGGCGAUACACUGUCAGCGGCUAAGCAAAAGCAAUAAGUAAUCCACCUGGGGAGUACGGCCGCAAGGUUGAAACUCAAAGGAAUUGACGGGGGCCCGCACAAGCGGAGGAACAUGUGGUUUAAUUCGAUGAUACGCGAGGAACCUUACCUGGGCUUAAUGUAGAGUGCAUUUUCUAGAGAUAGAAUUUCCCUUCGGGGCUUUCUGCAAGGUGCUGCAUGGNUGUCGUCAGCUCGUGCCGUGAGGUGUCGGGUNAGUCCAUACGAGCGCACNNAUCGNUAGUGCCAGCUGGUAAGCAGGGACUCCUAGCGAACCUGCCNNCGUAANNNGA
rnacentral:rRNA from 1 species